UCCUCAGAGACUCCUAAAACAAGCAAACCAAAGCUUGCCCCAACCACAGGGCAGGCGGAAGCAAAGGUAGAAGCUGAACUCCAAUCUAGGGGAGUCCUACCCCUUAACGCAGCUGUGCCGGAGCGGAAUGUUGGAAAGUGCCUUGAGUCCCUGGAUUUUAGGCCCUUGUCCUCUGUCGUCUACAUCAGACCUGCCUCGUCCCAUCCAAGCCGAUCACCUUCUGAGAGGACCUGGCCCCCGAGCUCAGGAGCACCCCAGCUCUCAGGACACAGCCCCUCGUGGUGGGACAGCGCCUGCACCUGCAGCCCUGUAGCCCCUGCACAAGGAAUUUGUUGAGGGAAUUUGUAUUUUCUGCUGCUUUCUCCUUGAACCUAUUUGCAUUUUAAAUAAUUAAAACAUUAAAGCUGAAAAAUUUAUAAA